UAAGACAGAGGGGGCAAGCGUUGCUCGGAAUCACUGGGCGUAAAGGGCGCGUAGGCGGGAUGGCAAGUCGGUCGUGAAAUCCUUCGGCCCAACCGAAGAACGUCGGCCGAUACUGCCAUUCUUGAGGAUUGCAGAGGAGACUGGAAUUCCCGGUGUAGCGGUGAAAUGUGUAGAUCUCGGGAGGAACAC
rnacentral:rRNA from 1 species